GGAAGAUGCCCUGAUUGGUCAGAAGUCAACAGGAAGUGGUGGUAGAUCUAAAUUAAAGGCGCAGUCAGCUCCAAACCAAAACCCAUUUAUGAUCACCGCUAUGGUAUUUCUAACAAAUCAAAGCCCUGAAAUCUUACAUAUACAGUACCUUUUUCAGACAGUGCAAUAUCAACCGAUAAAAGUUUUUGUGCUGGUCACUUGAGCUGAACUAAUUUAAUCAAACUUCCCAUAAAAAUAAAAUAAUAUAUUCCAAUCAUUCAAUACAGACCUACAUAUCUUUUUGUUUAUUUUACAGUAAUUGAUCAAAGCGUAGCCAACUCUUGAAAAGGCAGUUGAGUUUGGAAACAUUCAAUAUUCAGAUUAGUUGAGCCCCAACCAAAAGCUGCAUUAGCCCCUGCUGGUCUGCGGUCUCCCACAUAUCUCUAACGCAGUACACAAAAUAUCUUUACAAAUAUAUUCAUAUAGGUAUAGAUUUAUACACAUCUCAAAUACUUUAUAUAUUAUAAAUAACAGCAGAUAAAAGGGCAUUAUGACAAAGUGCAAAAGGGAAACAGCAAGGGAAACAGCUUUAUAAAAAACACCUGUGUCCAAUAGUCACUCCGAUUUGAGCCACAAAAGACCAGAAAUAGUCACCGGCUUGGAAAUACACAUGAGUCGAUGGAGCGACAGCAUCGCAUUAGCUUCAGCCACAACAUACUAUUAAAAAAACCAACGUUGACAAAGUGCGGCCAAGACCCCCACCACAAAGUAAAAACAAAAGUACUGCAGAUUGAUUUGUAUGAACAAAAAAAAAAUACUAAAAUGAAUUUGAUUCUCUUCCAACAGUCCGAAGGCUGUAAUGUGGGCCAGGCUGACUGUUGAUAUUGACCUGCAAAAGGCCUCAAGUACCUGAGUCCUUUAUCACAGUAGAAAAACACAGGUUUAGCUCAUAACUUUAAUUAUGGGUCCGUUGGAUGUAGGUAUGACCGUGUAUUAAACCGACCUAGCGUUAACAUUAAAUGAACAGGAAGUUAUUUCACUCUAAUAUUGACGAGCUGGGAAAAGGGGCCUUUUGAAAUGCUUUUGAUCACGUCGUCACCUUGACGAGCAGUAGCCCACUAGUGGAAACACAGUGCAUUGCAUAAGCAGGCAGACUAGGUGUAAUGUCACCCUAUGACCGCUCAUUUGCAUAAAAAAACAACAUGUGCUGGUCAUAUCCAUUGGAUGAAUCCGAUGACGGUGAAACAUGCAAAGCAUCAUGGGAUAUAGUGCAGACCUCAGCUACACUUCCUUGGUGGUGCAUUAUGGGUAUUAAGUUCACUAGUUAGGGAACCGGCUUUUGUACAACAGUGUUGACGUCACAAAUGGUGCACAAGUGGACCAAUCUGAACACAGCCUGCCCCCCCCCAUGUUAUUCAAUGCAAAUCCUUGCCUUCUAGAUGAGUCUUGAUACAGCCCUGCUCCUCUUCGACAAAGGUGAGCCACAGCAGCCAACAGGUUGAAUUGGUGCACAUUCAAGAGUUUCUUGAAGCAAAAACCACAGGAAGAGAAGAGCGCUUCUCUUGUCUUGUUUUGCACUAGGGUGAAUGGGUUCCAGAGCUACCCAAACCUUCUUGUUUGAAUCUAUGCCUGAAUUAAAAUAAAGUUGUCCUCCAAAGGUGUGCCAUAAAAAAAAAGAAAAGAAGAAGAAGAAGCUUCUCAACAUCUCUGGAUCUUUCUUCGUCGUGUUAUUCUGUUGAGUCAAGGCACACACUCUUCAUCUAUGAGGCCGUCUUCUAUCCCCCCCCCCCACCCCAGCUGUGUGGAACCGUGUCGCCAACACAUUAAGCAAGGCAUUUAGGCAAGGAGUGUUUACUCCAUCGUGCGCGUGGUGGGAUUGAAUCGGACAACUCGGUCACAAGGGUCACGGCGUCGUGUGACAGGAGAGGACAGCAGCUCAGGCCGUUGAACUGAGGAACCUUUACUGAAGACCACAGCACAGGUUGGGGCUCAAAGUGCUGAUGGGGGGGGAGAUAAUGCAGACGAGCAUCUGAAACAUCCAGGGGAAAGACUUGAUGCAUAGAGUGUCGGAAAAAAAAUAAAUAAUAAUAAUAAUAAUCAGAGCCAUUUUGAAAACAUUUCAGGUAAACAUCGUUGACAUAUUACAUACGUUACGCAAGCGAGCAAAGAGAUGGAAGAUAGAAAGACUUAUGUAGAAAAAUAUCAAUUUUUUUUAGACAGAGGAAGAAACCUUGGGGGGAAUGUGUGGAGGUCUGUGUUUUCAGCCAGUAACUCUUUCACAAAAAAAAAGUCAAUUUCUAUAAACCAAUUGAUCACCGCCUGAUAACAAGCAACCACAAUGAAGGAAAAACACAAAUCCAUCGGAUAGCGGACUCACUGAAAUCUAUUAUUUUCUAUUCUUAAUGUCCCCACACACAUAAGCAGGAUAAGGUUUAGGGGCGGAUUGUCACGACAAAGCACUGAGGAGCCAUCACAGGGUGUUUAGACGCUGCAGGCAUCCUGGUACCAAUACAGUAACGGUCUCAUAGUCUAGUCAGUGGUUAGGCAGUUCUGGGGUCAAACCCACAAUGUCCGCUCUCCAGCUCAAGGCAGGGUCCACAAUAAACGCCUGCCUCCAGCCUAUGGCUGAUCGAUUUCAGGGAUAAAUAUGAAAACAAUUGAUCGAUUCUUCCACUUUGUCCAGCAAAAAGACACAAUUCUAUUCGGGUAUUUGGGACCCUUUCUGUAGGCAUCCUUGAGAUAAACCUUAAGUUAACCUUAACCCUUAUGCCUGCUGCUGAUUGACUUGUAUACGGAAUUCACUGAAAGUCACUUUAGAUUUAAGGGUCUGCUAAAAGACUAAACAGUACCGGUUGGAAGUCACUGGUAUAGUGGUUAAAGGAUGCUCAGACAAUCUGAACCGAUUUCUGUUGUUGAUUAACAAGAGGGUUUGGCUCAGGGAUAGGUUAGGACCACAGUGUUGCUAGCAGAUAUAUCUCAUCCACUAGGGCUCUCUCUCACAGUGAGCAGUGUUUACAAACAGACAGGGAGUGACGUCGUAGUGCGCCAUUAUCAGCGCCCUGGGGUGAGUGUGAUAAGCGCUUACAGGCCGUUUUGAAAAUCGGCCUUUUCUGACAUCACAAGUGGGCGUGUCCACCUAGAUCUGUGCUGGAUAGAUCAGUCCGCCAGCCUUCCCAGUGGACUCUAGCAAACGUUGCUCAUCUAUCCAGCACAGAUCUAGGCAGAUUUACAGGGCUUGUGUAAACCCUCACACCUGGUGGAUCAACAUGUCACCUUUAAACUUCUCGCUAUGCAGCCACUUCGGAAGGCAGUAACUACUCCUGACCAUGUGCCAGAGGACUCGCUCGGCAGCCGGUUACAAUUUCUAACCGAGGUAUAACCCAUCAACAACGUUGUGUUUUAUGAACAGUGCUAAACAGUAGCCUAGCGCGGCGAAACAGCAGGAAUUAAGGGGGCGCAGCACAGUCGUAACCAUAAACUUUAUAGGCUGUUGGCGAUGGCGGACGUUCUUUAAAAACACUCCCUUAUAAAACAACACCUUCCCCGAGACUGAGAGUUAAUUGCAAACAGAAUCGUUGGAACGUAGGAAUAAAACCAAUCUUACGACUUUUUUCCUUUUGCACACUUCGGGAAAAAUAAUUAACAAUAAAUAAAAAUAAAAUAGAAUACAAGAUAUGUACAAUUUCUUUUUACAAUAUCAACUCUUGUAACACUUUUGAUUCUCAAAUGCUUUUUGUUGUUGUUGCAUAAACUGUAUCGUUAAAUCCUAUUUUGUUGCUCUCAAAUGAAUAAUAAACGAAUUCCAUGAAUUAGAUAUUAACAAGCGAACAUUCAGAUUCACAAAUGCGAAUCCAUUGAGUCCAAAGACACAACGACAGAGUUUGUGUGUUCCUUGAAACAUUCACAAACACGCACACAAGCAGACGCCGGAACACACAAAUAGAAUAAAAGUUCUCAAAAAUAAAAAAAUAUAAAGAACACAAAACCAAUAGUCAAUCCUUUGUCUUGACGUUCGGUACAGCUGUGAACUGUGUGUACUUGUCCGAGGGAAUCCAUGAGGAAAGGAAGGAGGAAGUAAGUGUAUGACUUCCUGUCAACCGCCCCCCCUUCCAAAACAGACCACAGAGUUCCAUCCAGGUCACCUGACCUCCGAAAAACAGGAACCAGGAAACAUAUAUCAAAAAAUCCAUGACUGGUCUUUGAGGAACAGAUAUUCCAGAAUACAAAACUAUACUUCUCUUGGAUUAGCAACAAAUGCUCUUGGAUAUUUUCCUUUUUCUUUAGGGUAAGAAGUUUAUUAUCGCCAGAAAGAAAUGUACUCGUGUUCUGGAAAAUGACCACAACUGAAGUGACCGGCGAUACGUUUUCCGUCCCAUAAAUCCACUACCAUGAGAGCCAGGAGCCUGAAGAGGACUCCAUUACCCAGAAGUCAUAGUGGGGGAUAGUGAAUAGUAGCCCACCAUUAUGGGAAUGCUGCAAAGAGCGCUGGGUUUUCAAGGUCAGCACUGGUGUGGCCCGUCAAAGCCGACCGACCUCCUGUCCGUGGAGAAAGCUUGAGGGCAUGACCCAGUGGGACCUAGGGGGCAGAGGAGAGAAACAUUUCCUGUUAUGGAAUCUGGAAUAUUGUGAUGGAAUUACAUCUUGGCCAAAUAAUGGCCAACUAUGGCAAAUAUGUAAGCAUUCAAAACAAAUGUUGAUAAAAGCAGUGAGCACCAAAUUUGCAUAUGUUAAUAGAGACUCUGUGAAGGAUUUGACAUAGGAAA
ensembl:lncRNA